GAUGAAGAACGUAGCGAAAUGCGAUAAGUAAUGUGAAUUGCAGAAUUCAGUGAAUCAUCGAAUCUUUGAACGCACCUUGCGCCCUUUGGCCAUUCCGAAGGGCAUGCCUGUUUGAGUAUCAUGAACACCUCAACUCUCAUGGCUCGCCAUGAUGAGCUUGGAUUUGGGGGUCUUGCUGGCCUGUGGUCGGCUCCUCUCAAAUGGAUCAGCUUGCCAGUGUUUGGUGGCAUCACAGGUGUGAUAACUAUCUGCGCUUGUGGUUUUCCAUCAGAUAACCUUCAGUGAUGGAGGUUCGCUGGAGCUCAUAAACGUCUCCCCUCAGCGGGGACAGCCCUUUGAAUGUUUGAUCUCAAAUCAGGUAGGACUACCCGCUGAACUUAAGCAUAUCAAUAAGCGGAGGA
rnacentral:misc_RNA from 1 species